rnacentral:rRNA from 1 species
CACCGCGGUUAUACGAGAGACCCUAGUUGAUAUAUACGGCGUAAAGAGUGGUUAUGGAACUACUGUACUAAAGCUGAAAACUCCCCAAGCUGUCAUACGCACCCCGAAGUUAAAACCUCGUCACACGAAAGUAGCUUUAUUCACGCCCACCAGAACCCACGACAGCUAGGGCA